AGGACGAACGCUGGCGGCGUGCUUAACACAUGCAAGUCGAACGGAAAGGCCCUGCUUUUGUGGGGUGCUCGAGUGGCGAACGGGUGAGUAACACGUGAGUAACCUGCCCUUGACUUUGGGAUAACUUCAGGAAACUGGGGCUAAUACCGGAUAGGAGCUCCUGCUGCAUGGUGGGGGUUGGAAAGUUUCGGCGGUUGGGGAUGGACUCGCGGCUUAUCAGCUUGUUGGUGGGGUAGUGGCUUACCAAGGCUUUGGACGGGUAGCCGGCCUGAGAGGGUGACCGGCCACAGUUGGGACUG
rnacentral:rRNA from 1 species